UCUUAGUUUCAGCAAAACGGCCAUAGUUAC
rnacentral:piRNA from 1 species